rnacentral:rRNA from 1 species
CACAGGUGGGAUUGCGUUUUUAAUUAUUGAAUAGGCAUUAAGAGUGAUAAGGUGGCUUAAAGCUAGAGUUAAAAGAGGAAAGUUAGAGGAAUAACCAAAGGAAGGAUGAAAUCUAUAGAUGUUGGUUGGAACAUCAAAGGCGACAGCAUCACUUUAUUUUUGACUGACACUGAAUCACUAAAGUGUGGGGAGCGAACUGG